ensembl:lncRNA
GAGAAAUGUCCGGAAGGCUGCCCGCGUCCUCGUGGUCGACGGAGGACACAUCGCUCUGCGGGUCAGUCAUCGUGGACCUCGUUUGUUUUCUCUGCGGGGCGGAUGUUUCAGACUCCUGUUCGGCCUCUGAGCUUUCGAACAGAGUCUCGAGGUUCAGCGGAGCUACCGUCAUCUCCGCGUACUCUUUGGCCUCGUCGACCGUCUGGCGCUUGAGUUUUGUACCGAAGGUACGUUGGGCCCACUGGGCGGCUUUGUCGAAGGAACGGUCAAACCCGUCGCAUCCGAUGCGUUCGAGCUUGUUCCCCUCUUCGGACAACGCUUUCGUGUAGUGGCUAUUCAGAAUAUUAAUAGUGUUCUGAGCCCACUUUUUUGCAUUGUCCUCAAUGAGGGCUUGCGUGGCGGCGUUUGGCAAAGCCGGUUUGAUAACCUCUGAUAGGUAUUUUACAAUCUCGCCGAUCGCAGGAGGCUGCCCUUGGCAUAUAUUGUUCAUGUGAUGUUUCAAUUUUAUGAUCUUGAACGACGUGCGGACCGAGUCGAUGUGAGGGUCAGUAGACUGUUUCGGCUUUUGGUUCUGCCAGUGAUGUGAUUUUUUGUUUUUGGGGUGCGAGCGCACCAUAUACUGAGGCCCCGAGGUACAGGGCCUCGAACGGGCCCGGGGUUCAAAAGAUUGCGGCCUGUCAGGCCGACGAUCAAAGUCAUGAUAGUGAGUAGGGGCUGUGCUCCUACGGCCUCCGUGUUUGACCAUCUCCGCGUAGGAGAGCAUUCUUUCCGCCUGUGCACGGCGCUCUAUGUCGCGGUGGUAACGGGGCGUAGGCCGAGCCAUGCUCUGGACGGCACGUUUGCGUCCGCGUGUGACCAUAGUCCAACCGUCUCUCUCUGGCCAAACCAUGGUUUAAGUGUCUUCUCCUUUUUAAUAUAUAUGUGUACGUGUGUUCGUAGAUUUGUUGUGGAUCUAA